GAUGAAGAACGCAGCGAAAUGCGAUAAGUAAUGUGAAUUGCAGAAUUCAGUGAAUCAUCGAAUCUUUGAACGCACAUUGCGCCCGCUAGUAUUCUGGCGGGCAUGCCUGUCCGAGCGUCAUUUCAACCCUCAAACCCCCGGGCUUGGUGUUGGGGAUCGGCGAGCCUCCGCGCCCGCCGUCCCCUAAAUCUAGUGGCGGUCUCGCUGUAGCUUCCUCUGCGUAGUAGCACACCUCGCACUGGGAAACAGCGCGGCCACGCCGUUAAACCCCCAACUUCUGAACGUUUGACCUCGGAUCAGGUAGGAAUACCCGCUGAACUUAAGCAUAUCAAUAAGCGGAGGA
rnacentral:misc_RNA from 1 species